GUCGAGCGGAACGAUCCUAGCUUGCUAGGAGGCGUCGAGCGGCGGACGGGUGAGUAAUGCAUAGGAAUCUACCCAGUCGUGGGGGAUAACCUGAGGAAACUCAGGCUAAUACCGCAUACGUCCUACGGGAGAAAGCGGGGGCUCUUCGGACCUCGCGCGAUUGGAUGAGCCUAUGUCGGAUUAGCUUGUUGGUAAGGUAACGGCUUACCAAGGCGACGAUCCGUAGCUGGUCUGAGAGGAUGAUCAGCCACACCGGGACUGAGACACGGCCCGGACUCCUACGGGAGGCAGCAGUGGGGAAUAUUGGACAAUGGGCGAAAGCCUGAUCCAGCCAUGCCGCGUGUGUGAAGAAGGCUUUCGGGUUGUAAAGCACUUUCAGCGAGGAAGAAAGCGUGCCGGCCAAUACCCGGUACGGACGACAUCACUCGCAGAAGAAGCACCGGCUAACUCCGUGCCAGCAGCCGCGGUAAUACGGAGGGUGCAAGCGUUAAUCGGAAUUACUGGGCGUAAAGCGCGCGUAGGCGGCGUGUCACGCCGGGUGUGAAAGCCCCGGGCUCAACCUGGGAACGGCAUCCGGAACGGGCAGGCUAGAGUGCAGGAGAGGAAGGUAGAAUUCCCGGUGUAGCGGUGAAAUGCGUAGAGAUCGGGAGGAAUACCAGUGGCGAAGGCGGCCUUCUGGACUGACACUGACGCUGAGGUGCGAAAGCGUGGGUAGCAAACAGGAUUAGAUACCCUGGUAGUCCACGCCGUAAACGAUGUCGACUAGCCGUUGGGUCCCUUGAGGACUUAGUGGCGCAGUU
rnacentral:rRNA from 2 species